UAGUUGGAUCUCGGGGUGAGGCGAGCCCGGUCCGCCGCGAGCUCGGCGAGUACCGGCCCGCCCACCUCCUCCCUCCGGCGCCCCGUCCCCUCGUUGACUCGGGUGGGGACGUCGAAAGGGGGGGGAGGGGUGGGGGCAACUCCACCUCUCCUCUCCUGGGGCCCGGACCUUUUACCUUGAGGAAAUUAGAGUGUUCAAAGCGGGCGCGAAUCUUUCUCGCCGUUGAAUACGUCAGCAUGGGAUAAUGGAAUAGGACCCCGCUCCUAUUUCCGUUGGUUUCCGGGAGCGGGGUAAUGAUUGAUAGGGAUAGUUGGGGGCAUCGAUAUUUAAUUGUCAGAGGUGAAAUUCUUGGAUUUAUGAAAGAUCGACUUCCGCGAAAGCAUUUGCCAAGGAUGUUUUCAUUAAUCAAGAACGAAAGUUAGGGGAUCGAAGACGAUCAGAUACCGUCGUAGUCUUAACCAUAAAACCGUGCCGACCAGCGAUCGGGAG
rnacentral:rRNA from 1 species